rnacentral:ncRNA from 1 species
AUGAUUUCGUAUAUCCUCAAUAAUAUGGUUUGAGGGUCUCUACAAGGAACCGUAAAAUCCUGGCUACGAUAGGUAUGUUUC